rnacentral:lncRNA from 1 species
CGGCCUGCGCCCAAUAGACUACCGCGAACGCAAACUGAGUGCUGCGGCCUUCGGACUACGUUUCCCCGAAUUCAUGCGGGGGCUUCCUAUUAGCCAGCGCGCCAGCCUCGAAAGAAGAGGCGGAGCCAUGGCGGCGGCGUCGCGGAGACGAAGUGAGGGCUGGCACUUCUCCUCACUCCGGAGAAGCGCCUCCGGGACCCAGGAGCCUCGGCGGGCAGGAGGCGAGUCCGGCCCGGGCUCUCCGUCCUGCCGCAGCCGCCGCCUCGGCCGCAGGUUGUGAGAAGCCCCGCACCUCUAGUACCUCUGAAGACCCCUGCAGGGACAGGGAGGCAGGUACCUAGCAAGCAUCCGUCAGAAGGCAGCUGGUUACAGUGCUCACCGGAUUCGUGGAUGCACAGGUGUCACGGCGGUUAACUGGCGGGCAGAGGACCUUACCCCGGCCUACCCACCGUGGCCUACUGCCCUGCCCCACCUGUAAGGCCCCCCUCUGCCUGCCUAACGUGUUGUUGUCAUCCAAGCCUCUUCUGCUCCUAGAACCCCGGUCUCGUUUUCCUGUGUUAUCUAAUGGCCUACUUCACACCUCCACUUGGAUUCCUAGGCCCCGCCCAUCCCAGACUCUCCCUCCCUGCCUGCCAGGAUUUCUUAAAAGGCAUCUCUGACAUAAAAUGGGCAGUCGAGAAUGUUUCACUACUUUCCUUUCCCGAGAAGAAACUGGUUUCUUUCUGCUACACCAUCUUAAACGUGUCCAUCAUUCAUCCAAAUGUUCAGGCCAAAAAUGG